AAUGGCAGGUCAGCAUACUGCCGUGAAUACGUUCCCGGGCCUUGUACACACCGCCCGUCACACCAUGAGAGUUGGGAAUACCCGAAGCCUGUGAGCUAACAUUUAUGAGGCAGCAGUCGAAGGUAGAAUCAAUGAUUGGGUGAAGUCGUAACAAGGUAUC
rnacentral:rRNA from 1 species